AUUGAACGCUGGCGGCAUGCUUUACACAUGCAAGUCGAACGGGGUGAGGGGCUUGCUCCUCAUCUAGUGGCGAACGGGUGAGUAAUACAUCGGAACGUACCGUGUAGUGGGGGAUAACUUAUCGAAAGGUAGGCUAAUACCGCAUGCGAUCUACGGAUGAAAGCAGGGGACCUUCGGGCCUUGUGCUAUACGAGCGGCUGAUGUCUGAUUAGCUAGUUGGUGAGGUAAAGGCUCACCAAGGCGACGAUCAGUAGCGGGUCUGAGAGGAUGAUCCGCCACACUGGGACUGAGACACGGCCCAGACUCCUACGGGAGGCAGCAGUGGGGAAUUUUGGACAAUGGGCGCAAGCCUGAUCCAGCCAUGCCGCGUGUCUGAAGAAGGCCUUCGGGUUGUAAAGGACUUUUGUCAGGGAGCAAAUCCUAACAGCUAAUAUCUGUUGGGGAUGAGAGUACCUGAAGAAUAAGCACCGGCUAACUACGUG
rnacentral:rRNA from 1 species